UCCAGGACAGCCAGGGCUACACAGAGAAACACUGUCUCGAAAAACCAAAAUAAAAAAGCAACAACAAAAAAAAACCCAACAGAUUGGCUCGAAUCCUUGCCUGGUGCAGUGUGGGUGAGAAACACACGCGUUUUGUGUAAUUCUAAAUCUAAGGCUCGGCUCAAAGGAAUAUCUACCCUGGCUGGGAGAUUAGAGUUUAUGACCUUAAAACAGUAUCGUCGUUUGAUUCUUCUGUGUGUUUGCUGAGACAGGAUCUCUCACUAUGUCACCUUGGCUGUCUUGGAACUCACUUGUAGAUCAGGCUAGCCUUGAAAAUAAAGAUCUGCCUGCCUCUGCUCCCUGAGUGCUGGGGCUGAAGGUGUGCGCCUGGCUUUGCUUUUAAUGAAUUUAUUUAUUUUAAGACAGGUUCUCUCUACGUAGCCCUGGCUAUUCUAGAAUUCACUCUGUAGACCAAGCUGGCCCUGAACUCACAGAGAUCCUCCUGCCUCUGCCUCCCAAGUAUCGGGAUUAUUAAAGGCAAACACUGCCACCCUAGAUUCUUUUGAGCACCUCAUUGGUCUGGGAUUAUCAGCUACAGGGCGGAACAAAUAAAUAGCCUAUAAACAUCCUCUUACCUGUUUACUAAGAAAGCAGGGCUAGGGGCUAAGGGAACAGAUCAGUGGCCUGGGCAAGGCCCAGCACUCAGUCCCCAGGACCAAAGGAGAAGUGUCAAUGGAGAGAUGCUGCAACGUUUCAGAGCACUGACAGCUCUUGGUAAGCACCCAAGUCCGGUUCCCAGCACCCACAUAAAUGACCCGGAGCCUGCAGGAGAUCUGACUCCUGGCCUCCGAGAGCGCUGGACCCGUGCCCUCAUGCACAUGCUCAGAUACACACGGAUACGCAUGUGUGGUGUGUACCUUUAAUCCCAGCACUUGGGAGGCAGAAGCAUGCAGAUCUUGGAGUUAGAGACCACCAGCCUGGUCUACAAAGGGAGUCCCAGGACAGUCAGGGCUACACAGAAAAACCCUAUCUCAAAC
rnacentral:lncRNA from 1 species